rnacentral:SRP_RNA from 1 species
GCUGGGUGCGGUGGCAUGUGCCUGUAAUCCAAGUCACUGGGAGGCUGAGGUUGGUGGAUCAAGUGAGCUGAGGAGCUCUGGGCUGCAGCACUCUAUGUCGAACGGGUGUCCACGCUAAGUUCGGUAUCGAUAUGGUGUUCCUGGGGGAGCCCGGGACCACCAGGUUGUCUAAGGAGGGGAGAACCAGCCCAGGUCGGAAACGAAGCAGGUCAAAUCCCCUGUGCUGUCCAGUAGUGGGAUAAUACCUGUGAGUAGAUGCUGCAGUGCAGCCUUGGCAAAACAUCGAUACCCAAUCUUUU